CAUCACACAAACUGCAUUUCCAGGACCUUGGGGCGCUACCCAGAGAUGAGGGCUGGCCUGGAAAGCAGCCCUCCAGACACUAGGUCUUGGGUCCUCUGCCAUCACCACAAUCCCCAUUCCCACGCGCCAGCUCCACUCCAGCGCUAUUACUAGGCAAAGAAGAUCCGAGAGUCCGAUGAGAACACAGAGGCUCAGGAGGCCUCUGCUCCACUAGUGUGGUCCAGAGACAACAGAGGCCCCCAAAGGUGUGACACCGCCCGGCCCAGCCAGCAGGAGGGGGAAGCCACCAGGAGACGGAGUCUCCAAAACCUUCACGCCGCUUGAGCCCCACAAACUCCAUAUCCCUUCAGACCCUGGGUACCUCAGGGCCCAUCAUGCCCCAUCCUGCCCUAGACACUAAAGGCCCCUGUAGCCCCACGAUCCCCCAGUGCUCAGGGUGAUCAGCCUACCACGUCCGCCACCCUUGGCUAUCUCAGAUCCAGUCUCCGUUCGCGUUUCGCGCUUCCUGCCUACCCUGCUUCCGAAGAGAAGACAUACUGGAUCCCGGCCGGGAUCUCCGGCCCCAGCCGCCGCCAGUCGCGCGGCGCUUCCGGAUUCCUCUCGUGUAGGCCCGCCCACAACAUUCGGAGUGCCUAAUCCGGACCCGAAUUCCCCGCCGCCGGAUGUCAAUCAUCCAUACCUGGGGGUGGAUUGGCUCGUAUGAGGCCCGGGCGUGGCUUAAACUCUGCCUCUAGGAGCCUGGCUCUGGAGCCUGCGCG
rnacentral:lncRNA from 1 species